GGAUUAGAUACCCCUGGUAGUCCCUAGCCGUAAACGUUGGGUGCUAGGUGUGGGCGGAUAUCGACCCCGUCCGUGCCGAAGCUAACGCAUUAAGCCACCCCGCCUGGGGAGUACGGCCGCAAGGCUAAAACUCAAAGGAAUUGACGGGGCCCCGCACAAGCGGCGGAGCAUGCGGCUUAAUUCGAUGCAACGCGAAGAACCUUACCUGGGUUUGACAUGCAGGGUGAAACCCGUGAAAGCGGGCGCUCUUCGGAGCCUGCACAGGUGGUGCAUGGCUGUCGUCAGCUCGUGCCGUGAGGUGUUGCCUUAAGUGGCGCAACGAGCGCAACCCCUGUCCUUAGUUGCCAGCGGAUCAUGCCGGGAACUCUAGGGAGACUGCCGGUGCCAAACCGGAGGAAGGUGGGGAUGACGUCAAGUCAGCAUGCCCCUUAUACCCAGGGCUGCACGCAUGCUACAAUGCGCGAUACAGAGGGCUGCGAUCCCGUAAGGGGGAGCGAAUCCCAAAAAGUCGCGCUCAGUUCGGAUCGAGGUCUGCAACCCGACC
rnacentral:rRNA from 1 species